GUUAGACCGUGGGUAAAGAGACUUGACUACCUGAGUCUUCAAAGACGAUAAUACAUCGUGGCGGAAAAAAAAAAGUUGCAAAACGAGCGGAAGACGCCACGUGGCUUGGAAUGAAAGUAGUUAAUAUGCGUGUGCCUUCAUGCGAAGGUCCAGUUUUUACAAUAAUUUUCCCCCAAAUUUCAAGUUCUCGAAUGAAAGUAAUUAGUCUGUGUGGUGGAGAUGGAAUGAGCUCUGAAGGUUACCAAGAGAAUCCAAGAGAUGUCGGAUGAUUGAUGUUUCUGCUAGAACUUGGGCUUGGACUUGCAUGGAUCCAGGAUUCAUUCCCCCCCCCCCCCCACCUUAUUUUGAAUUAUGUGUUACGUACUUUUUUGUUUAAUGUUGGAUUCACUGAAUCCCUUUUAUUCAUAUAGUUCAUGUUCUACGAUAAUACCAUGCAUACGAUAUAUCUUUUCGGUAAUAUUUUGAGCCUAACUCGGGGUGUUACAUUACCCCUUUUUUUAAUCCGGUGGUGGUGAUUGGGAUUAUGGGAAUUUUAAUAACCUAGAUUUGGGAAUUCACGACGGUGGUGGUUUGGUCGUAGGCCGCCGAUGGCAAAGAUAAAAAGGGUGGAUUCAUCAAAUCGCUUACAUGGGGGAGUCGUUCUCUUCACCUACAAUCCUGCUUUCUUCUUAUGAUGUUUGGAUCUCUUAUUUGUCACCAUUUACCCAUUAUAGCUUUCAUCA